rnacentral:tRNA from 1 species
AUUUAAAUAGCUUAAUAAAAGUAUAAUAUUGAAGAUAUUAAGAUAAUAAAAUUUAUUUUUAAAUA